UGAUCAUCAGACAGUGGUAUC
rnacentral:siRNA from 1 species